rnacentral:rRNA from 1 species
AGCUAUACAUGCAGUCGAGCGGACAGAUGGGAGCUUGCUCCCUGAUGUUAGCGGCGGACGGGUGAGUAACACGUGGGUAACCUGCCUGUAAGACUGGGAUAACUCCGGGAAACCGGGGCUAAUACCGGAUGGUUGUUUGAACCGCAUGGUUCAGACAUAAAAGGUGGCUUCGGCUACCACUUACAGAUGGACCCGCGGCGCAUUAGCUAGUUGGUGAGGUAACGGCUCACCAAGGCGACGAUGCGUAGCCGACCUGAGAGGGUGAUCGGCCACACUGGGACUGAGACACGGCCCAGACUCCUACGGGAGGCAGCAGUAGGGAAUCUUCCGCAAUGGACGAAAGUCUGACGGAGCAACGCCGCGUGAGUGAUGAAGGUUUUCGGAUCGUAAAGCUCUGUUGUUAGGGAAGAACAAGUGCCGUUCAAAUAGGGCGGCACCUUGACGGUACCUAACCAGAAAGCCACGGCUAACUACGUGCCAGCAGCCGCGGUAAUACGUAGGUGGCAAGCGUUGUCCGGAAUUAUUGGGCGUAAAGGGCUCGCAGGCGGUUUCUUAAGUCUGAUGUGAAAGCCCCCGGCUCAACCGGGGAGGGUCAUUGGAAACUGGGGAACUUGAGUGCAGAAGAGGAGAGUGGAAUUCCACGUGUAGCGGUGAAAUGCGUAGAGAUGUGGAGGAACACCAGUGGCGAAAGCGACUCUCUGGUCUGUAACUGACGCUGAGGAGCGAAAGCGUGGGGAGCGAACAGGAUUAGAUACCCUGGUAGUCCACGCCGUAAACGAUGAGUGCUAAGUGUUAGGGGUUUCCGCCCCUUAGUGCUGCAGCUAACGCAUUAAGCACUCGCCUGGGGAGUACGGUCGCAAGACUGAAACUCAAAGGAAUUGACGGGGCCCGCACAAGCGGUGGAGCAUGUGUUUACUCGAGCACGCGAGACUACAGUCUGACAUCUCUGACAUCUAGAGAUAGACGUCCCUCCGGGGCAGAGUGACAGUGUGCAUGCGUCGUCAGCUCGUGUCUGAAUGUGGGUAGUUCCGCACGAGCGCACCCUUGAUCUUAGUGCCAGCAUCA